CGGGUCAUUGACAUCCUUCACCAAGUUGCUUGUCUGCCAGCUUGAGUCCCGGAGUUAUGAGCUGCCUGGAUCUCUGAGUCACUACCAUUAGUGAUGGAUAUAAAGCCAAGAAACAAAGUCAGGCAUGGAAGUCUCUGGCAACAGAGAGGUUGGAAGAGGAGAUAUUUAAAGUGGUCCUGAAGCUUUCACAGUAGAGAAUGUUAGAGAGACACUGUGGGAAGAAAGGGCUUUGCUUCCAGCAAGUUCCACCAUCAUCCACCAUAGGCAACUUUCUGGCAACAUGUGAGUCAUGGUGGUAUAUUCUUCAACAAGGUCUGUAUCUCAGCAGGAUGGGGAUUUAUAUAGAGCUUUUCCUUGGGUGUUCAUAUCAAUACUAGGAUUGGUGACUACUCUUUAUAUCUGGCAUUUUUAUACUCUUUAGAGUUGUCUUUACUGAUUAGCCCAUCUCUCAUUAUUUUAAACUCUUGUUAUACUUCAUUUUUCUUUAUACUGAUAUUCUCUGUUCAAAUCCUGCAUGGUUGCUCUCUCCUGAUUGGAUCCACACUGACACAUUGACCAAAUGACAUUCUACAAUCAAAUUUAUGACACUUUAUGAUACUGAAGUAUAAAAUAAAGAUUUUUGUGCUAGUUAUCAUAAUUAAAUUGUACCAUCUCUCCAAAUCUAUAUAUCCCACAUGGAUUAUAGAUCUAAAUGUGAAAGUUACGUUAUACAGUCUUUGGAAAAAAAUACUAGGGCCAUAUUUAUGGCUUUGGAAAAGGCAAAGAGCUCUUACACAGCAACAUUAUCAAACCCAUUAAUCAUAACAUUAAAAAAUGAAAAAUUGUACUACGUUCAAAUAAGAAUUUAUAUUCAUCAAAAGUCACAAUUAAAUAAUCAAAAAUAUAAAGUGACUUUCAUUUAAUAUAUAAAAACAACUCCUACAAAUGAUGACAAAAGGCUGAGAACACAAUAGAAAAAUAAGCAAAAGAUUUUAUAUUUCAUAAAACAAGACAGCUACCCAGAUGGCCAAUAAUUUUAUUAAAAUAUAUGCAACUUCAUUAGUCAUUAGGAAAUGCCAGUUAAAUCCAAAAUGUGAUAUGUGAUAACAGUACAACUACCAGAAAAGCUAAGAUGAACAAAAUAAAAAUUAAAAAUAUACAUAAUACUAAGCUCCAGCAAGAGUGUAGAGCAACUGGAAUGCUCACAAAUUGAUAGUGGGAGUGCAAACUGGUAUAAAAACUUGUCCAAAAUGUUUGCCAAUAUCUACUAAAAUGAAUAUGUGCAUAGUGUAUCACCCGACAUGUAUGUUUACCAAAACUAUGUACAAAAGUGUUCAUAACAGCACUAUACGUAAUAGCCUGAGAUUCAAAAUAACUGCUGCCCAUCAGCCAUGGAAUGGAAAAAGAAAUGGUAGUAUACUUAAGCAGUUUCCUACAGUACAGAAAUGAGAAAUGUCAAACUAUUAUGUACGCAAGAAGUCAGACAAAGAGCAAAUACUUAGAAAUCAGCCUCCGUGAACAAAAGUCAACCUUUGUGGAAGAAAGUAUCUCGACAGACAAGACGUGGUUUGGAGAUGCCUGUUAAUCUUCUGGCUCUUAUUAGUGCUGGGAUGACAAGUGUGCUGACAUUUUAAAAUUCACUAAGGUACACACUAAUGAUUGGUACAGUUUUCUGGAUGUUUGUUAUACUACUAGAAAGACUUAAAAAAAUCAUAAAAAUAAGAUGGUUCUUCAAUAGAAUAAGAAAGAUCUUCAUACAGGUAGGAUAUGAUAUUCCUAUCCAGUCAUAUUACUCACUGAAAUAUUAUUAAUUCCCAAUUAUCUUUAUUGAUGUUACUUUCUAAAGAGUCCUUUAAUUAACAUUUGUCACUUCUAUGCGUCUCUUCUUUGAGCUUAUAAAGUAGCCAUUUAGUUACAUGCUUACAGUCUGAAGCUUUCCAUUUCUCACAGAUUUAUGUGACAAAUAACAGAGUUAUAUUACUUAGAGAAAACUGUAUGAGUCCUUUCACAAGCGCCCAGAAACAGGUCACGUAUAACACUUUGUUAAAUGUAACAACAACCAUUCUUGCCUUAGAAACUCAAUACUCAAGUCAAGGUUUAUGGGAAAAGAAGCAAGCAUGUGAAUGAAAGCACAAGUAACAGUAAGAGCUGACAUACUUGGCAUUUCAAAAAUGGGAACUUGAUUUAAUAUAGCCAAAAGAGUGAUGGUUGAUGGAGUCAAAUUAUGAAGGGUCUUGUGGCCCACAGAAAGACUCUGAUUUUGAUUCCAAGCAAGAUAAGAAGCCAUUAGAUAAUUUUCACUGAUGAAAAAUAUGAUUUCAGGUAAUUGUCACAGUUGUGUAUCGCUUUACCUAUCACCUACCAGUGCAGACCAACUGAGCCAGACACGAAGGGAGAAGGAUUAUGUAUGUAAAUAAAUACCAAAUCACAGUUUACAGAAUAAUUUAGUCUCAUUGCUUUCAAUGACUUUUGGAAACUCAAAGUAUCUUCUAGAUAUCACACUUAAAUGAGUAGUUAAUUACCAUGAAAACACAGAACUAACAAUGCUCACUUGCACUUGGGUUAGAAUUAUGCUACCUGCUUAUCACUUGGUCAUGGUGCUUAAAAUCUUUUCAUUAGGGGCGCCUGGGUGGCUCGGUCGGUUAAGCGUCCGACUUCGGCUCAGGUUAUGAUCUCACGGUCCGUGAGUUCGAGCCCCGUGUCGGGCUCUGGGCUGACAGCUCAGAGCCUGGAGCUUGUUUCAGAUUCUGUGUCUCCCUUUCUCUCUGCCCCUCCCCUGUUCAUGCUCUGUCUCUCUCUGUCUCAAAAAUAAAUAAACGUUAAAAAAAUUAAAAAAAAAUCUUUUCAUUAAAUAUCCCUAUGCAAAUAUAUUAUUAAUAAACAUUUCAAAUUAAUACAUAUCUCAUAUCAAACAAUAUUUGACUAUUACACAUUUGAUUCAAGAUUUGUUCAGCCAAUACUUAUACCAACUAUCAAAAAUUCAUGUUCAUAAUUUGUGUGUAUAUCUAUAUAUAGAUAUAUAUAUAGAUACACAAAUUCUACACUCCCUGUUUUUAAAGAUGCAUCACUCUAUUGUCUUUCACUGAUUAUUUUGCUUUUAAAUCAUUUCUUCUGGUCAGUCAUUUUGUCUUGAUACCUGCUGGCACAUUGAUUAGUUUGUGACACAUCAAAAAUAAAAAAAGUCAGAAAAAGUGUAGAGUGAAGAAAUAUGGUAACAGAACUAAACGAGUUUGCUCCUUGGUGAAUCACAGAUAGAAACCAUGGCAGGUAGAGUUGUUGCACAAAGCAAACUAUUUGCAGCAAACAAGGAGAUCAUGGAAAAUAACCGCCACAACUGUGAUUUACCAAACAAAGGUAAAUGGGUUCCUUUUAUUUAGGGUUAGGGAUAAAUACUUACAAAGGGAGGCCUUGUUCAUCAUUUGUAGAGGCAGGCGUAGCAUUGCUCCUGUGACUUAAGGAAACAUGCCAAUCAAUGCAUUGGAUGUCAUGUAAAUGAGGCUUGUGCCUUGGGCAGAGAUCUUAGUAUUAUAGUGACAUAAAGGUAACUGUUGGGAACUCCAGGAGUCACUUCGUGGUCUAUCUGUGCAGGCCUGAGUUGGCAUUAAGUUCAAACUGGUCUGGGUGGUCUGGGUCGCUGGAGUUCCUCCCCCAGGUGGUGGUUAUUGCUUCCGGGGUAGUUUUGAUUUCCACAGGGGAUGCUUUGCCUGUAUGGUCUUUCGCCACAGUGACAAGAUAAACUGGAAAGAAGAGAUUACAGAAAAUUACGGGACAAAGAUCGGUGGGUACAAGCAGGUCCUCAACUAUACAAUGGGACUAUGAACAAACACAUCAAUGGAUUGCUUCAAGAGUAAAAUGAGGUGAGACGCAGUGGCUGAAGUUCACUGAAGCAGUGUUUCCCCUCCCCCCCACCCCCCAGAAAACGGCUAGAGGGGGCUGAAGUCGGGGAGCUCCUUGCUUGCGAGUGUCAGACUCCAGUGAAAGUGUCUCCUCAGAGCAAGUUUUGUUGAGAACAGUAAACUUUGGUGUAUUUCGGAACGACUCAUUUUCCCCUCUGCUCACCAGAACCCUGAGGGGAUUUUUCUACAGGAUUCACUGUGAGGCCUGGUGCAGCUCCGAGAGGUAAAACUGGGUCCUCCUGGAGUUUUUCCUCUCUCACACUUGUCUACACGGAGACUCCAGCAAUUUGCCAAUUACAGUUGCGGUCUUCCAGCCCCAGUACUGGUUCCUGUGCAGGUUUUGCGUGUGGCUUUCUGGUACCAUAGUGGUGAUUUUCUGUAUCUGCUUGUCUCUCACUCUCUCUGAUUUUGCAGGCAAGAGUUUGCCCUGGGAAUCUGACUUUUCUGAAAGAUCUAUGAAGAGGUUGAUUUUUUAGUUUGUUCAGGUUUCUUACUUGUCAUUAUGAUGGAGUGAAGACUUCCACGCUUUGUAAAUGCUGGACUGGAAACCGGAAAUAAUUCAAGUUCUCAGCAAUUUUUUUCACAAGGGGCCCACAUUUUCGAGUACUGCAACUUGUGUAGGACAGACCGUUAGGGUGCUCAGAGGCUCUCUCCUGCCUGCUUCCUCUCUCCCUUCCUGUUUUUUUCUGACCCUCAUCCAUACGACUGUCUAACCAUCUGUCCUCUGCUGACUUCUCCCAGAUGCACUAUUCCCAACUGCCUACUUGGGAUCUUGAUUCUCAUAUCUAGUAAAAUUCCGAAAUAUUUUCCUUGGAGAUUUGUCAUCAUCAUCAUGAGGAUCACCAUACACAUAAUCACACAAUCAGAAACAAACAAAAGUCUGAGAAUCUUUUUAUGUUUAAUUCUUGUAUUCCCUUUAGAUUCUCCGUCCAAUUUAAGAGAAUGUCCUUCCAGCUCUACCUCCAAACUCAAUCCCAAGUUACAGCAUUUAUGGUCUAAUACCACCAUCCACAUGAAGGAAGAACACAGACCUGCUUCGCUCAAUGUUUGGUGGAAGGAUGUAGGCUGUGCAACAAUCUGAAUGAUCUUACAUUAGGCUUGCUUCAUUGUGUCCUACCAUCCCUAAGGUGCUCUGCCCCAGUGUAUUUUGUGUGAGAAAUUAGAAGUAUGCAUCACAAAGUAAGUACAUGUCUCCUUUUAAAUGAUUUAUUGUGUUAAUGUAACAUAAACAACUUCUCUCUACAAUGCAUAUCCCUUAUUAGAGAAUCCAAAUAUCUUUCCUGUUGCAAAAUACCCAAUUUGUAUCUGAAAUGGUUAAUUUUAUGUGUCAACUGGGUUAAGAGAUGUCCAGAUGGCUAGUCAGACAUUAUGUCUGGAUCUGUCUGUGAGGGAAUUUCUGAAAGGGAUUAGUAUUUGCUUCAGUAGACUGGGAGAUGGCCACUCAUAGUGGUGAGGGAAACUCUCUCACUCAGUCUGCUGAUGGCCCCAAUAGAACAAAAGAUGAAAGAAGGACCGAUUCCCUCUCUCUUCUUGAACUAGAGCAUCUAUCUUCUCCUGCCCUCAGGCAUCAGUGAUCCUAGAUGACAGGCUGUUGGACCCAGACUGAAAUACACUACGAGUUUUCUGGUUCCUCAGCUUGCUGACAACAGACUGUGGGCUUCUCAGCCUCUGUAGCCCUGUGAGCCAAUUCCGGUGACAAAUAUCUUCACAUAUGUAUAUAUAUCCUACUGUGUUGUUUUUUCCCUCUAAUACAAUAUCUAAGCAAAGUUGAAGAUGUCCUAGAACAUUCACACUUGAUGGAUUUAUUGUCAAGGGGAAGAAAAGUGGCUGUAGAGGACUGUGUAUGUGCAUUGGUGUUAAAGCAGGUGGUAUGCGUAUUCAGAUCAUAAAAUGUAAUCUAAGAGAAAACAAAGGUGAACAAAGGGCUGACCCAAACAUUACUCAGUGUAUCCUGUUUAGCACUUCCAUUUUCUUGUGCAGUUUACUUUUUCCUUUAUUUUUCCUAUUGACUAUGUCCUAUUUAAUGGAAAAUCCAAUUUUCACCCUCUCUCAUUUUAGAAAGACUACAUUAAAUUCACUUUCCUCCAGCCUUGGACUGAAUGAAAUCCCCACGCUGAAUCUAGCAGUUGUUAAAGGUGCACUAAGCCAUCUAAUGUAUCUCAUAAGGAUUUUUAAGUACAAGAAGUUUUGGAAUUGAAAUAAAGGUAGCAUCCACCUGAUUUACCCAUGGAUGGUGGUUCCACUGGCAGUUUCCAUUUUGUUUAGUGGUUCAGUGGUGUUACGGUUUGGUGUAAGUUGUGUUUUUAUUACUUGUGGUUUUCUGCAUUUUCAGUUUAUAGAUUUACAUAUCUAUAUUAGACAUACAAGUAUAUUUUAAUUCAAAGAAGAUCAGACUGAUACAGUGGUGUCUUUCUCAUUGGUGUCAGAUUUUUCUUUAAAAAAUAAUUAGAUAAAAGGUCACGUCGGGCAAAUUCUUUAUGAAAAGUAAAGAUUUCCGAUGCCGAAGUGUAGUGAGCAUGUUAAGCCCUUGUCAAGGAAUAUAUCAUUUCUACUUAGCUCUUCCUAGAUAAAGUGACUGUAUUGAGUCUUCAGUGAACUCUGUUAUUCUGGAGUAAAGGAGAAAUGACUCAGAGGAAAUACGUGAAGGGCAUCUUGAAAAAGGGAAUUGUAACUGCAACUUUUCAAACCUUUGCAAAUUAUAGUAUUCUUCUCUAGCUGGAACUCUGCUUUCUGUUCAAAUUAAGUCGAAGGUGAUUAGUAACCCUUACAUUAGAAACUCUUCCCGUGAUGACACUGUUAGCUUUGAGAGAAAAUUAAGUUAGGAAAAAGUUUAGUUUGAUAAAACACAGUUGCAGAAUUAUAAGUCAGUGUCUGUAUCGCUUUAUUACUUGGAAAAUGACUGGAAGGAAGCAGUAUCCUAGCAGUGUUUCCAUUCAGGUUUUUCAUACUGGAAAUGUUAAUUCAUUUAUAAAAACUAGAGACAUAGAACUAUUACAAAUCUUGAUUUCAGCUCAGGUUCCCCUAAAAUAGAAAAGCUGCCAGCGUGCCUAUUUCUGAUCCAAAUGCGGAAAACCACAGUGCCAUUUCUCAAAGGUAACAACCCCGCCAUUGCUCUGCCUGAGGACUUUAUUAGAUUUAAUACUGAGAGCUCACAGUCAGCUACUGCCAGUGAAUCCCUUGAAAGCUGGAAACUUGGAUUAUCUUUUGUCUACAUUUCUAUUACACAGACUGUUGUUAACCUUCCAUUCCCAACUUGAACCUACUUAAUGGUGUUGCCAACCAGCAGCUGUACCUCUGAGGGCCUCCAGCAAAAUAAAAGCUGUAUUUCACAUCUUAGGUGUAGUGUAGAUUUCCAAGAAGAAAAGUAACCUGAUCUUUUAACAUUCUGUUUGUACUUGCAAAGUAUAGCACAUUUGCAAUAUGAUAUUCCUUCUGGGAGAUCACCAUGUGGAUUAUUCUGCAACUUUCACAGGUGAUUGAAGUAUUUCAAAUUAGAGUCUUGAAAUAAAGGAGCUCAUGGCCAGGAGCAUUAUCACUUCACAGAGUGGAAAAUGAGGUUUACUAGUUACUAAAUCAAUAGAAAUAACAGGAUUUGUAUGAAUAACUUAGGGACUCUUUAUUGAAGCUUUUGUUUUCUUCAUUCUUUUCCUUGCUUACUCCUAAUUUAAAACAUAGCAAGUAUGGCUUCAACUUCACUCUUCAUUAUACAAUGUCAAUAUUCUUGGUUUUUUAUACAUGACACAUACACACAACACUGCUCCAGGUAUACAUAAGGGCAUCGUAAUUGAUGCUUACAUGUUAAACUAAAAUACGUGCCUAUUAGUUUCCUCAUUUAGACACAGGUAAAUGUGAAGGGAAUAGUUCUCAACGUAAGAGAAAAUCAGAAUGUCAUCUCUGGAUGAAAGUCAUUUAACAGUUCUUUACUGUGCAUCCCAGGGCUACAUGCUCUUAUUAAAUAUCUAAGCCAAUACUUCACUAUUGUUUCGUUUUACUUUUUUAAGGUUUAUUUAUUCUUGACAGACAGAGAGACAGAGGCAGAAACAGACACAGAAUCUGAAGCAGGCUCCAGGUUCUGAACUGUCAGCACAGAGCCCAACGCUGGGCUUGAACUCACAAACUGCAAGAUCAUGACCUGAGCCAAAUUCAGACGCUUAACUGACUGAACCACCCAGGCACCCCAGGCCAGUACUUAGUCAUUAUUAAUAUUCUGAUUAGUUACCACAAAAUAUUCUUGCAUUGAAGCAAGAGUUUUGUUGCAUAGAAUUCAAUGUUCUUAUUCAACAUCUAGAGAUCAUGAUUAAGGAAAUCCUCUACUCAGGAUAUAUACUUAACAUGAAAGAAACAGAAAAACAAAAAGAAAAAUGAUUACUCCCCAUAACUUCUUAAUGUCCUCAAACUUCUGAAAUUUUUUUGUAGUGGCAUUCCAGCUUACAAGUAUCUUUCCAAUGAAUAGGAUAAUUCUUGGCUUUAAUGUCAUAUUAUCCCAAGCAAAAACUCAGGGAAGGCUACACAUGCAUAAAUUAACCUGACCCGUAAUUCACAGCCUCGACACUAGCUUCAGAAGGAAAACUCAGUAUACACCCAAACCCUACCAGUCAAAUCUGUGGAAUGGUGACUAAUGCUUUGCAAAAUACAGAAAUACUAACCGUUCUUUUUAUUUUUUUUUCUAGUAUAGUUAACAUACAGUGUCAUGUUACUUUCAGGUGUACAAUGUAGUGACUCAACAAUUCUAUACAUUACUCAGCGUUCAUCACCUUAAAUAUACUGUUAUCCCCUUCACCUAUUCCAUUCCUUCCCCGAUCCACUCCUCUCUGGUGAUCAUUAGUUGGUUCUCUGUAGUUAAGAGCAUGUUUCUUGGUUUAUCUCUUUUUCUCUGUUCAUUUGUUUCUUCAGUAUUACGUAUUAGUGAAAUCAUAUGGUGAUUUUUUUUUUCGCUUAGGAUUAUACCCUCUAGAACCAUCCAUGUUAUUGCUGGUAAGAUUUCAUUCUUUUUUAUGGUUAAUAUUUCAUUGUAUACAUACACCACAUAUUCUUGUUUUCUUUUUUAAUUUUUUAAAUGUUUAUUUUUGAGAGAGACAGACUGUGAGCAGUGGAGGGGCAGAGAGAAAGGGAGACACAGAAUCUGAAGGAGGCUCCAGGCUCUCAGCUGUCAGCAGAGAGCCUGAUGCAGGGCUCGAACUCACAAACCAUGAGAUCAUGACCUGAGCUGUAGUAAGACACUGAACCAACUGAGCCACUCAGGCCCCCCAUACACCACAUAUUGUUUAUCCAUUAAUCUAUGAAAGGACACUUGGGUUGCUUCCACAGUUUGGCUGUUGUAAACGAUGCUGCAGUAAACACAGGAGUGCGUGUCUUUUCAAAUUAGUGUUUUCAUAUUCUCUGGGUAAAUACCCAGUAGUAUAAUUCCCAGAGUGUACAGAACUCUAUGUUUAAUUUUUGAGAAACCCCCAUACUGUUUUCUACAGUGGCCACACCUGUUUUCACUACCACCAACAGUGCACAAUGGUUCCUUUUUUUCCACAUCCUUGUCAACACUUGUCUCUUGUGUUUUUCAUUUUAGCCAUUCUGACAUGCGUGAGAUGAUAUCUGUUGUGGAUUAGAUUUGCAUUUCCCUGAUGACGAGUGAUGUUGAGCACCUUUUCAUGUGUCAGUUGACCAUGUGUACGUCUUCUUUGAAGAAAUGUCUGUUCAUGUCCUCUGGCCGUUUCUUAAACUGGAUAUUUGGGUGUUUUGGUGUUGAGUUGUAUAACCUCUGACACAUAUUUAAAAAGUGACUGCCGAUAUCAGAGACAGGACUGCCUCUGCUCUCUUCUCGGAUUUUUAUGGUUUCAUGUCUCACAUUUAGGUCUUUAGUCCAUUUUUGAGUUUGUUGUGUAUGGUAUGAGAAUUUUGUACACUUUCAUUCUUUUGCAUAUAGCUGUCUAGUUUUCCCAAUAUUAUUUGUUGAAAACAAUGUCUUUUUCCCAUUGCUUAUUUUUGCCUCCCUCAUCAGAGAUUGACCAUGUAAUUGUGGGGUUUUUUCUGGGCUCUCUUUUCUGCUCUAUUGAUCUAUGUGUUUCUUUCUGAGCCAGUACCAUACUGUUUUGAUAACUAAAGCUUUGUAUUACCUUGAUUCUUGACAUUAUGAUACCUCCAGGUUCAGUCAUAUUUUUAAGACUGUUUUGUAUAUUCAGGGUCUUUUGUGGUUCUACACAAAUUUUGAGAUUACUUGUUCUGAUUCUGUGAAAAAUUCUGUUGGUAUUUUGAUAAGGAUUGCAUUAAAUCCGUAGAUUGCUUUGGGCAGUAGGGACAUUUUAACAAUAUUUGUUCUCUCAGGCCAUGAGCAUGGAAUAUCUUUCCAUUUGUUUGUGUCAUCUUCAAUUUCUAUCAUCACUGUUUUAUAGUUUUUCAACUACAGGUCGUAGGAUAAGUUUAUUCCUAGGUAUUUUAUUAUUUUUGGCACAACUGUAAUGGGAUUAUUUUCCUUCUCAUUCUGCUACUUCAUUAUUAGUGUAUAGAAAUGCAACGGAUUUCUCUAUAUUGAUUUUGUAUCCUGCAACCUUACUGAAUUCAUUUAUCAGUUGUAGUAGAUAUUCAAAUCAUGAAAAGAAAAAGCAUAGACACUUAAAGCUGGAAGGAACCAAAAUCAGUUCAUCAGAUUCCCAUAUUGUUUGCAAAAAGAAGGGGGAGGUCAAGUGACUUAUAGCGUUAAUACAGAGACAUAGUGAAACACAUUCCACUUGCAUUCUACUAUAUAAUUUAAAAUUACUGUAUUGGAUUUUACCGUAAGAUAUCUGAAACCUUCUAGAAGGGCUGAGCUUGCUAUUAUUUGGCUAAGGCCAUAUUGGACACGUCAUGUGUCUGCUCAGCAGGGCCAUUGCCAGAGAGAGCGCACAUUUCUGGGACAAUUUCCAGCCCUUUAUAGUUAGUUCUUCACAUACCCCAAACAUUACUAAAGCAAUUAACCUUGUUGAAUCUUUUAUUUAAAUCACUGACUUGAAGCCUUUAAUUUAAGCCAACAAAAAGUCCCUACAAAAUGUCGGCAGUUUGUUUUGUGGUAACUACAGAAGUACUAUCUAGGCUUACAACUAGGUUAUUGAGUCAAUAAGCUUUUUCAAAUAAUUCAUCAAAUAUUUAUUGAAUACCAAUUAUAUUUGAAACAGGGUAUCAACUGUCAUUCAAGGCUGGGAAAGUACAACUUUUUUUCUCAAGAAGCUUAUGAAUCAUGUGAGUAACUGUAAUGUAUUGUAUUCCAAACAUUUGAUUGGUCCUAAGAAAAUAACAUAAAGUGCUCCAUGGUUUCAAAGUUCAAAUCAACUGUGUUGUUUGAGGAAGAUCAGGAAAGUCUUGAGAUGAUAAUUGACUUUGUGCCUAGGUAGUUUUUUAAAUUGUAAAGAGUGUUUUAUAUUGUUUUACAAAAGAACACAUUUUCAGUAUAAUAAAAAAACAUAAGCAAAAACCAAAAAUACAACAUCUAAAAUUCCAUCAUUCACAGAAAUGGGUAUGAAUGAUACCUGGUGCAUGUUACUCCAUACAUUCAUAUGCAUGCUAUACAUUAUAUAUCUUACAUUUAAAAAUAGCUUCAUGAAAUCAAAUAUUAUCCAAGUAGAAUAUGACUGUACAUAUUUUAUUUAAUUUAAAGAAACUAUCUUUCUUUCAAUGUAUUUUAAUGUCCAGGAAACAGAAAAAUCGAUCUUUCUACCUAUAGCAGAGACUCUUCUAAAUCUAAUUGAGUGGCAGGAAGCUCCUGAAAUGCCAAAAUUGUGUUUUUAUUUGUUAUACAGGAUGUAGUGAUAUUCAAGUUGCAUUUUGGAGUUCUGCAUCUCCCUAUAAGAGAGGUCUUUUAAUUAGUAAUAUAGUAGACAUAUAGAGUUUAUUCAUUUUAGUUCUUAAUACCACAGUGAGUAUAUGGUAAUUUAUUCUUUUACUAAUAUUCAGUGCCUAGCAUCAGGUUACUAUAUUCUCAGCAAUUUAUCAUCUGGGGAUUUUUUAUUUAAUUUUUUUCUUAAUGUUAGUAUUAGUCUGCAUUAGCAAGUAAUAAAAUGCAUUGCUUUAUUAGAACUUCAAUAAGGAUAGAAUACAUCUUUAUUUCCAUAUAUGUAAACCAAAAUAAAAGAUUUUAUCAUAUUUUUCUCUCCUCAACCAAGUGCUAAAUAUUAAAAUUUUAAAUAUAUAGCUACCAGUUUACCAAAAGAAAUUUUUCUACAAUAUGAGGGCCUGAAGACCUGUAAAUAUAUUUAGUUAAGCCAAUCAUGAUAAUAGUACAUAUGUAUUUAUUCCUAGUGUGUGUUAGGAGUUGUGUUACUCAGUGCUAGAAACUUUGAAGAUUCACAACAACCUUAUGAGUAAGGUAUUGAUAUUAUUCCCAUUUCAUAGUUUAAGUGGUUGAAGCACAGAGAUAGUCAUUAUUAUGCACAAGGUUACCUAGGUGAUGAGGGCGGGAACUGAGAGAGUAAUCCAGGCCAUUAGACACUAUGCAAUACUACUUCUUGUGAAAUGAAACUAUACUUAUUCUUUUACCAAAGGAAUAUUUUCAGUGGAGAAUUUUUUGAAAGAUUUUUUUUUAUUUAUUUUUGAGAGAGACAGAGGCAAAGACGGAGGGAGACACAGAAUCCGAAGCAGGCUCCAGGCUCUAGGCUCUGAGCUGUAAGCACAGAGCCUGAUGUGGGGCUCAAACUCACGGACCGUGAGAUCAUGACCUGAGACAAAGUGGGAUGCUUAACCAACAGAGCCACCCAGGCACCCCUCAGUGGAAAAUUUUUGUUCUUGGUUGAACAUCUUUUACAUAUACCACUAGGCCCUACAAAGACGACACUGUAACUUUAUGAUUACACAGCUUUUAAUGUUUAGAUCAACACUUUUAAAAAAUACUAGUUUCAUGAAAUGUUUAAAUGUAUGACUUGAGGAAAGCUAUCCAUAAUAAAGUAAUUUGAUACAUUUGGGCUUAAACAAAAUUAAUCAGGCUUCUGUACUAUGCCAUUUUAGAGACUUUACAUGUGAAAUAUACACUGUGACUCUUCAAGGGUAAUAGAAUGUGUCCAGUUUAUCAUAUGAAAACCAAGCAAGGAAUGGGUUUAUUGAAAGUUACGUAAUUUUAUUGCUUAUCUUAUUGCUUGAUAGUGGGU